UACGAAGGGGGCUAGCGUUGCUCGGAAUCACUGGGCGUAAAGCGCACGUAGGCGGCUUCUUAAGUCAGGGGUGAAAUCCUGGAGCUCAACUCCAGAACUGCCCUUGAUACUGAGAGGCUCGAGUCCGGGAGAGGUGAGUGGAACUCCGAGUGUAGAGGUGAAAUUCGUAGAUAUUCGGAAGAACACCAGUGGCGAAGGCGGCUCACUGGCCCGGUACUGACGCUGAGGCGCGAAAGCGUGGGGAGCAAACAGG
rnacentral:rRNA from 1 species